rnacentral:rRNA from 1 species
GGCGAACGGGUGAGUAACACGUGGGCAAUCUGCCCUGCACUCUGGGACAAGCCCUGGAAACGGGGUCUAAUACCGGAUACUGAUCCUCGCAGGCAUCUGCGAGGUUCGAAAGCUCCGGCGGUGCAGGAUGAGCCCGCGGCCUAUCAGCUAGUUGGUGAGGUAACGGCUCACCAAGGCGACGACGGGUAGCCGGCCUGAGAGGGCGACCGGCCACACUGGGACUGAGACACGGCCCAGACUCCUACGGGAGGCAGCAGUGGGGAAUAUUGCACAAUGGGCGAAAGCCUGAUGCAGCGACGCCGCGUGAGGGAUGACGGCCUUCGGGUUGUAAACCUCUUUCAGCAGGGAAGAAGCGAAAGUGACGGUACCUGCAGAAGAAGCGCCGGCUAACUACGUGCCAGCAGCCGCGGUAAUACGUAGGGCGCAAGCGUUGUCCGGAAUUAUUGGGCGUAAAGAGCUCGUAGGCGGCUUGUCACGUCGGUUGUGAAAGCCCGGGGCUUAACCCCGGGUCUGCAGUCGAUACGGGCAGGCUAGAGUUCGGUAGGGGAGAUCGGAAUUCCUGGUGUAGCGGUGAAAUGCGCAGAUAUCAGGAGGAACACCGGUGGCGAAGGCGGAUCUCUGGGCCGAUACUGACGCUAAGGAGCGAAAGCGUGGGGAGCGAACAGGAUUAGAUACCCUGGUAGUCCACGCCGUAAACGGUGGGCACUAGGUGUGGGCAACAUUCCACGUUGUCCGUGCCGCAGCUAACGCAUUAAGUGCCCCGCCUGGGGAGUACGGCCGCAAGGCUAAAACUCAGAGGAAUUGACGGGGGCCCGCACAAGCGGCGGAGCAUGUGGCUUAAUUCGACGCAACGCGAAGAACCUUACCAAGGCUUGACAUACACCGGAGAACCCUGGAGACAGGGUCCCCCUUGUGGUCGGUGU